rnacentral:rRNA from 1 species
GACGAACGCUGGCGGCGUGCCUAAUACAUGCAAGUCGAACGCAGGGGGGACGGGUGAGUAACACGUGGGUAACCUCCCAUCAGAGGGGAUAACACUUGGAAACAGGUGCUAAACCGAUACUGAUGGAUGGACCCGCGGUGCAUUAGCUAGUUGGUGAGGUAACGGCUCACCAAGGCGACGAUGAAUAGCGGACCUGAGAGGGUGAUCGGCCACACUGGGACUGAGACACGGCCCAGACUCCUACGGGAGGCAGCAGUGGGGAAUCUUGGGCAAUGGACGAAAGUCUGAGUGAGCAACGCCGCGUGAGUGAAGAAGGUUUUCGGAUCGUAAAGCUCUGGUGUUAGAGAAGCGGUAUCUAACCAGAAAGCAACGGCUAACUACGUGCCAGCAGCCGCGGUAAUUC